rnacentral:rRNA from 1 species
UACGUAGGGGGCAAGCGUUAUCCGGAUUUACUGGGUGUAAAGGGAGCGUAGACGGCAUGGCAAGCCAGAUGUGAAAGCCCGGGGCUCAACCCCGGGACUGCAUUUGGAACUGUCAGGCUAGAGUGUCGGAGAGGAAAGCGGAAUUCCUAGUGUAGCGGUGAAAUGCGUAGAUAUUAGGAGGAACACCGGUGGCGAAGGCGGCUUUCUGGACGAUGACUGACGUUGAGGCUCGAAAGCGUGGGGAGCAAACAGG